UUUUUUGCUUUUUUCUCAGAGUUGCAGAUUCAUCAGAAGAUGUGGUAAGCCUGCGCCCACCUCGCUUCUUUGGUGAAGAUGGAGUUAUUAGACCUUACAGAUUAAGAGAUGGAACCGGAAGUCAAAUGUUACAGAAAAGACAGGCCUACAGGGAAUGGACUAAGACUCACAAUAGUAGUGAUGAUGAUGACAGUUAGGAUAAUAUGGACUGUAAGAUGCACGUGGCCUUUGUCACAUUCUUUUGACUGUUCAGUAUUAAAUAUUGUCACAGUAUUUCCUGCUGAGAAAUUGGGGAUGUCUGGUGUUAAUAUUUUUAAAAUUGGGAAAAAUAAAGGGGGGGGCGGAGGGGGGAGAGGAAGACAAAUAAAAUGUAUAAGUGCUAGACAAAGCAGCAAAUAUAUAUAUAUAACAAAUACAUACAACAAUAAAAAAUCAUAUAUAUACACAACUGGAUAUUAGGUGAAAAUCGUACUGAAUAAUAUAAAGAUAUAAUAAUACCAUGACUUAGAGUUUAUUUACAGAUAUGUUUCUAUCAAGUGUAUUUAACGUUUUUGCAUUUGCAAAUUGCCUUUCCCAGUUUAUAGUUAUAAUUUGCUAGAUGGAAUGCUUUUAAAUGUGUUCAGUAGUACUUUACUGAAUUGUACAGUCAUGAUUGGUAUUAAAAUGCUGUUUGACUGUUUAAUAUUCUAUUUAUAUCGUAUUUCAAAGCUAUUUUGUCUGCUUUUCUUCUUAUAAAUAAACACAUUUAAAUUAUAUCUAAAA